UACGGAGGGUGCAAGCGUUAUCCGGAUUCACUGGGUUUAAAGGGUGCGUAGGCGGGCAGGUAAGUCCGUGGUGAAAUCUCUGAGCUUAACUCAGAAACUGCCAUGGAUACUAUUUGUCUUGAAUAUCGUGGAGGUAAGCGGAAUAUGUCAUGUAGCGGUGAAAUGCUUAGAUAUGACAUAGAACACCAAUUGCGUAGGCAGCUUACUACACGAUCAUUGACGCUGAGGCACGAAAGCGUGGGGAGCAAACAGG
rnacentral:rRNA from 1 species